UACGUAGGGUGCGAGCGUUAAUCGGAAUUACUGGGCGUAAAGGGUGCGCAGGCGGAUAUGUAAGUUAGAUGUGAAAUCCCCGAGCUUAACUUGGGAAUGGCAUUUAAGACUGCAUGUCUAGAGUUUGUCAGAGGGGGGUAGAAUUCCAAGUGUAGCAGUGAAAUGCGUAGAGAUUGGAGGAAUACCAGUGGCGAAGGCGACCCCCUGGGAUAGAACUGACGCUCAGGCACGAAAGCGUGGGUAGCAAACAGG
rnacentral:rRNA from 1 species